rnacentral:rRNA from 1 species
UACGUAGGGCGCAAGCGUUAUCCGGAAUUAUUGGGCGUAAAGAGCUCGUAGGCGGUUUGUCGCGUCUGCUGUGAAAGUCCGGGGCUCAACUCCGGAUCUGCGGUGGGUACGGGCAGACUAGGGUGAUGUAGGGGAGACUGGAAUUCCUGGUGUAGCGGUGGAAUGCGCAGAUAUCAGGAGGAACACCGGUGGCGAAGGCGGGUCUCUGGGCAGUAACUGACGCUGAGGAGCGAAAGCGUGGGGAGCGAACAGG